CAACAUGCCGGAGAUGGUAAAGCUAAUUUCCUAAUCACGGGAAUCAAAUUGAGUGACUCUGAGUAAAGAAAAUUAAAUGCAUCAUAUUUCCUCGAAAUGUUUUUUUUAUGGCAAUCAUUAUUUCUAUGACGUUGGAGAAUGAGAGAUAUUUAGUGAAUAUGUAUGCUAGGCCGAUAAACCGCCCAAUAACCGCCCGAUAAGAGCUAAACCGAUACCAAUCCGCCCGAUAUCUUAUCAGGUGACUAAUGAAUUAAUACAUUUAAAAGCCGAUAACCGUUAAGGCAAAUCGUUAAGAGUAAAAAGACGC
rnacentral:lncRNA from 1 species